GCUCCGCUGGUUUUGUGGUUAGAGCGUCCGCCUCAGAUGCGGGAGGUCGUGGGUUAAAUCCCAGGUCGAGGUCA